GUCUCCAUGGAGUAGCGCAACUCACUCCCGAUCACUUCCAGGUCUAUUAAGGGUUUGGGAGAGUGGGUGGUUCGAAUCCGCCUGGGGACG